UUUUCUGAUGUGGAUUAAGGCUGCCCCAGCUAGAGAAGCCCAAGGUGACCUGGCCUACGUGCCAAACUAUACGACCCAGUGGACUUUUUUUAUGGUAUGAAUUAGGACUGCCCCAGGGAGAGAAGCCCGGGGCAUCCUCACCUGCAUGCCGAUCUAUAUGGCCAGAUUCGUAUCUAAAGUUAUAUGACCGCACAAUAACCAGACCCCAUCUGCACUGAAAUCAUUUAAUGACUUUUUACAUCAUCUUUUCUUUUUUUUCCAGUAAAAAUAAGUCACGUACCCAUGCCUUAUUAGCCCUAACCCUCAACUCAGGGCAGCAGCAGGAGCUCUGACUGCCCGUGGGUCCUGUCCCCACGCACCAGCUCUGCCUGCCCAUGGGUCCUGUCCCCAUGCCAGCGGGGGCAGCAGCAGCGGCAGCAGCAGGAGCUCUGACUGCCCGUGGGUCCUGUCCCCACGCACCAGCUCUGCCUGCCCAUGGGUCCUGUCCCCAUGCCAGCGGGGGCAGCAGCAGCGGCAGCAGCAGGAGCUCUGACUGCCCGUGGGUCCUGUCCCCACGCACCAGCUCUGCCUGCCCAUGGGUCCUGUCCCCAUGCCAGCGGGGGCAGCAGCAGUGGCAGCAGCAGAAGCUCUGCCUGCCCAUGGGUCCUGUCCCCAUGCUAUUCCACACUAUUCUCUAAAUAAAAGAGCACUACUGCCAGAUCUUGAGAGUCUAAGAAAUCUUUCUUUCGACUCCUCGGCUCACCGAUCCCGCAUCAUUUCUGGUGGCCCGUACGGGGACUUGCUUCAUCGGCUUGUGAGCUCGAGUUCUGGAACUACUAUCUAGCCCAUCACUAAUUCCUAAGACUGAAAAAAAAAAAAAAAAGAAAGAAAGAAAGAGGAGGGGAGAGGCAAAACGGCCAUAAGCGUGCCCUUGCAAAAAAUCUAGCAUCUUGAGUAUCUUCUCCACAAAUAUUGGCUCAGAUAUGACAACACAGCUUUUCAGGAACAAAGAUUGGACAUUCUGGAAUACAGCCACUUGGAAACAUGGGCCUGGUACCUUGUUUACAGAGAUUCUGGCAAUCUUACCCGGUAAGUAAGGAAGCUUGCUUAUCUGGCAGGUGCAAGGAACCUCAGAAUAUUUUGGGGGACCUCGAGAAGAGAGGAGUCCACCCAAACCUGUAGGUACUGCAGGCAAAAUCUGAUGGCAAGUCCUUGGCUUGGCUUUUCUGGCCUCGAGAGGCCUUUACAGUUCAAUCUGAGAUUCUUCAUAAAAAUUCCAGCAAAGCAGAUUUAAAAAGCCUGUAUAAUCAAUUGGUAUUCUUGCUGCACUUAUGUAAAUAAUUGGCAGACCAGUUAAUCUUAAUUUGGCUAUCUUUUAUAAAAAUGAGGGUGAUUUUAGGGAGAAAAAAAUUAUGUUUCAGUAGAAGGUAU
rnacentral:lncRNA from 1 species